rnacentral:rRNA from 1 species
UACGUAGGGUGCGAGCGUUGUCCGGAAUUACUGGGCGUAAAGAGUUCGUAGGCGGUUUGUCGCGUCGUUCGUGAAAACUUGGAGCUCAACUUCAAGCGUGCGGGCGAUACGGGCAGACUUGAGUACUACAGGGGAGACUGGAAUUCCUGGUGUAGCGGUGAAAUGCGCAGAUAUCAGGAGGAACACCGGUGGCGAAGGCGGGUCUCUGGGUAGUAACUGACGCUGAGGAAUGAAAGCGUGGGUAGCGAACAGG